UACGUAGGGCGCAAGCGUUAUCCGGAAUUAUUGGGCGUAAAGAGCUCGUAGGCGGUUUGUCGCGUCUGCCGUGAAAGUCCGGGGCUCAACUCCGGAUCUGCGGUGGGUACGGGCAGACUAGAGUGAUGUAGGGGAGACUGGAAUUCCUGGUGUAGCGGUGAAAUGCGCAGAUAUCAGGAGGAACACCGGUGGCGAAGGCGGCUCUCUGGACCUGUCCUGACGCUCAGGCGCGAAAGCUAGGGGAGCAAACAGG
rnacentral:rRNA from 1 species